GACGAACGCUGGCGGCGUGCUUAACACAUGCAAGUCGAACGGAAAGGCCCUGCUUUUGUGGGGUGCUCGAGUGGCGAACGGGUGAGUAACACGUGAGUAACCUGCCCUUGACUUUGGGAUAACUUCAGGAAACUGGGGCUAAUACCGGAUAGGAGCUCCUGCUGCAUGGUGGGGGUUGGAAAGUUUCGGCGGUUGGGGAUGGACUCGCGGCUUAUCAGCUUGUUGGUGGGGUAGUGGCUUACCAAGGCUUUGACGGGUAGCCGGCCUGAGAGGGUGACCGGCCCCAUUGGGACUGAGAUACGGCCCAGACUCCUACGGGAGGCAGCAGUGGGGAAUAUUGCACAAUGGGCGGAAGCCUGAUGCAGUACCGCCGCGUGCGGGAUGACGGCCUUCGGGUUGUAAACCGCUUUCGCCUGUGACGAAGCGUGAGUGACGGUAAUGGGUAAAGAAGCACCGGCUAACUACGUG
rnacentral:rRNA from 1 species